UACGGGGGGAGCUAGGGUUAUUCGUAAUAAUUGGGCGUAAAGGGCGCGUAGGCGGCUCGGCACGUCCGUUGUGAAAUCGCCCGGCUCAACUGGGCGGGGUCGGCGGAUACGGCCGAGCUGGAGCAAGCUAGGGGGUAAUGGAAUUCCCGGUGUAGUGGUGGAAUGCGUAGAUAUCGGGAGGAACACCAGUGGCGAAGGCGGUUACCUGGAGCUUUGCUGACGCUGAUGCGCGAAAGCGUGGGGAGCGAUCCGG
rnacentral:rRNA from 1 species